rnacentral:rRNA from 1 species
AGGACGAACGCUGGCGGCGUGCUUAACACAUGCAAGUCGAGCGAGGCCCUUCCUUCGGGAAGGUGCCCUAGCGGCGAACGGGUGAGUAACACGUGGGCAACCUGCCCCUAGCACUGGGAUAACUCCGGGAAACCGGGGCUAAUACCGGAUAUGACCUCUGAGGGCAUCCUCGGAGGUGUAAAGGAUUCUGGCUAGGGAUGGGCCCGCGGCCUAUCAGCUUGUUGGUGGGUAAAGCCUACCAAGGCGACGACGGGUAGCCGGCCUGAGAGGGCGACCGGCCACACUGGGACUGAGACACGGCCCAGACUCCUACGGGAGGCAGCAGUGGGGAAUAUUGCACAAUGGGCGAAAGCCUGAUGCAGCGACGCCGCGUGAGGGAUGACGGCCUUCGGGUUGUAACCUCUUUCAGCAGGGACGAAGCGAAAGUGACGGUACCUGCAGAAGAAGCACCGGCCAACUACGCGCCAGCAGCCGC